rnacentral:rRNA from 1 species
UACGUAGGGCGCAAGCGUUUAUCCGGAAUUAUUGGGCGUAAAGCGCACGUAGGCGGCUAGAUAAGUCGGGUGUGAAAGCCCUGGGCUCAACCCAGGAAGUGCAUUCGAAACUGUCUAGCUUGAAUCUCGGAGGGGGUCAGAGAAUUCCCGGUGUAGAGGUGAAAUUCGUAGAUAUCGGGAGGAAUACCAGUGGCGAAGGCGCUGACCUGGACGAAGAUUGACGCUGAGGUGCGAAAGCGCGGGGAGCAAACAGG